rnacentral:rRNA from 1 species
CCUACGGGGGGCAGCAGUGAGGAAUAUUGGUCAAUGGCCGAAAGGCUGAACCAGCCAAGUCGCGUGAGGGAAGACGGCCCUACGGAUUGUAAACCUCUUUUGUCGGGGAGCAAAGCGAGUCACGUGUGACGCAUUGAGAGUACCCUAAGAAAAAGGAUCGGCUAACUCCGUGCCAGCAGCCGCGGUAAUACGGAGGAUGCGAGCGUUAUCCGGAUUUAUUGGGUUUAAAGGGUGCGCAGGCGGAGGUGCAAGUCAGCGGUAAAAUUGCGGGGCUCAACCCCGUACUUCCGUUGAAACUGCAUCCCUUGAGUGCGUGAGAAGCAUGCGGAAUGCGUGGUGUAGCGGUGAAAUGCAUAGAUAUCACGCAGAACUCCGAUUGCGAAGGCAGCAUACCGGGGCGCAACUGACGCUCAUGCACGAAAGCGUGGGGAUCGAACAGGAUUAGAUACCCUUGUAGUC